rnacentral:rRNA from 1 species
UACGGGGGGAGCAAGCGUUGUUCGGAUUUACUGGGCGUAAAGGGCGCGUAGGCGGCGCAACAAGUCACUUGUGAAAUCUCCGGGCUUAACCCGGAGCGGCCAAGUGAUACUGUCGUGCUAGAGUGCGGAAGGGGCUACUGGAAUUCUCGGUGUAGCGGUGAAAUGCGCAGAUAUCAGGAGGAACACCGAUGGCGAAGGCAGGUCUCUGGGCCACUACUGACGCUGAGAAGCGAAAGCAUGGGGAGCGAACAGG